CCUACGGGUGGCAGCAGUGAGGAAUAUUGGUCAAUGGACGAGAGUCUGAACCAGCCAAGUAGCGUGAAGGAUGACUGCCCUAUGGGUUGUAAACUUCUUUUAUAUGGGGAUAAAACGUUCCACGUGUGGGAUUUUGUAUGUACCAUAUGAAUAAGGAUCGGCUAACUCCGUGCCAGCAGCCGCGGUAAUACGGAGGAUCCGAGCGUUAUCCGGAUUUAUUGGGUUUAAAGGGAGCGUAGGUGGAUUGUUAAGUGAGUUGUGAAAGUUUGCGGCUCAACCGUAAAAUUGCAGUUGAAACUGGCAGUCUUGAGUACAGUAGAGGUGGGCGGAAUUCGUGGUGUAGCGGUGAAAUGCUUAGAUAUCACGAAGAACUCCGAUUGCGAAGGCAGUUCACUGGACUGCAACUGACACUGAGGCUCGAAAGUGUGGGUAUCAAACAGGAUUAGAUACCCCUGUAGUC
rnacentral:rRNA from 1 species